UGGGGGAUAUUGCACAAUGGGGGGAACCCUGAUGCAGCGACGCCGCGUGGGUGAAGAAGCACCUCGGCGCGUAAAGCCCUGUCAGCAGGGAAGAAAAUGACGGUACCUGAAGAAGAAGCCCCGGCUAACUACGUGCC
rnacentral:rRNA from 1 species